UUUCCACUUCCCCGUGUCCUCCCCUUCACCUUGGGGGACUUAGCUGAGCCAGGGGGGGACCGGAUCCCAGCGGGUGGAGCAACCAGGUGAACCCUGAAAGGUAGGGCGGGGCGGGGGCGCUUGGGCCCCACCCCGGGAUCCGGUGACGCCGGGACUGGAAUUUGACACCGGUCGGCGGCAGGCAUGAGGCUGCUGAGGGAUGGAGUUGGGCCCGGCCCCCAGACACGGCCCACGGGCUCCACGAGCAGCAGGUCCCUCGGGCCCCAGCCCUCGCUGCAUCCUGGACCCAGAGCCCUGCACUUGAGGUAAGCCGGCUGUUGGCCCAGCCUCAUCCCAGCCCUGGAGUUAGGGGGAGCGGGCCGGAGCGUCCCCACCACUCUCUCACAUCCUCCCUCUCCUGGGCCCAGUGCGCAGCUCCUUGCCCCUCCCAGCCUCCUCAGUCCCUCUGGUCGCUUGAGGGACUGUGCUAGCCCUGCCAACCCACUGUAAUGUGAGGCUCCUGCUGCCGCUACUGGGUGCAGACUGGCUGCCAAGGCCAUGCUUUUGGCUAAAAGAGGCACCGCCAGGUGCAUCGCCCUGGGCAUGAGCCUUUCAGCUGCGGGGACAGUCCAGCACUGGUCCCAAGGACGGUGCCUAGAAGAACAGGGUGCAGGACCCUCAUGCUGCCUCAAGAAGAGGGUGGGGGAACAAGUCGACUAGGCUGAUGGGAGAUCCUGGUAUUGACAGAGAUGGAGCCUGGACGUGGAGGCCCUUCUGUGCUGCCCCGCUGGCCCCCGCCUAGGAGGCAGGCAGCCGACUCCAACCUAAGCCCUUCCCGACUCUCCCCACCCAACUAGAAGCCCGCUCUGAGCUCUGCGGCCCCAGCCUUUCCUGGCCUCCCUCCACCCUGAGACCACCUGGGUGCCCUCUUCCUCC